GGGGCGUUAGCUCAAUGGUUAGAGCUGCGGACUUUUAAUCCGUAGGUUCUGGGUUCGAGUCCCAGGCGCCCUACCU
rnacentral:tRNA from 1 species